AUUGAACGCUGGCGGCAGGCCUAACACAUGCAAGUCGAACGAGUGGCGGCCGGGUGAGUAAUGACUGGGAAACGGCCUGAUGGAGGGGGAUCACUACUGGAAACGGUCUCUACUAACGCAUACCAUCAAUUUAGCCCAGAUGGGAUUAACGAGUUGGUGGGGUAAAGGCUCACCAAGGCGACGAUCCCCAACUGGUCUGAGAGUAUGACCGGCCACACUGGGACGGAGACACGGUCCAGACUCCUACGGGAGGCAGCAGUGGGGAAUAUUCCACAAUGGACGCAAGCCUGAUGCAGCCAUGCCGCGUGUAUGAAGAAGGCCUUCGGGUUGUAAAGUACUUUCAGCGGGGAGGCGUUACCCGCAGAAGAAGCACCGGCUAACUCCGUGCCAGCAGCCGCGGUAAUUC
rnacentral:rRNA from 1 species